CAGGAGGUGUCUGCUUGGUCUCUCAUCAUGGACUUUCUCUUACGAGGAGGUUGCUGCUAUCCUCAAUUGAGGCAACAGCAAUAUGUUGACAGCAGAGAAGCUGAGAAACUUAAUUAAUUAUUAUUAUUUUUUGGCUAGAAAAUAUUAGGGAUGUCUUCUAAACUGGCUUUUGGGGCACUCAUCUUUUUCUCUCUCUCUCUCCCCUGGAUCUCCUGAGUUGUUCCUACUAGGAGAGGAGAGUCCAACUUCCCUGGUACUUGGGGUGCUGCUACUAGUGCUCCUUUUGAUGCCAGUCUGCCCUCCACCACUGUUUCUGAAGCAACAGAGGCUUGUAGAUACCAGCCUUUGUGUCAGGUUCCUCUGUGGAUCAUUUGCCUGAGAACUCUAUUACAGUCUUUCUCACUGAGAAAUGCACAGAAUGUGAACCUCAAGAUAUUUAAAAAAAAUAUAGUAAAAUAUGACACGCACAGUAUUUCAUUUCACAACAGAAAAUUUUACUUGUUACCUCUCUGCUGAAGAAUGAAAGGGUCAUUUUUGUCUGCUAUAUGAGAACCCUUCUUUCAUUUGAAAACCAUCAUUUGCCAGGCUGUGAGGGACCUCAGCUGGGACUGAGUUUGGUACUAUUAAGCCAAUAGGCUUAAUUUUUGUAUUGGGACCCUGAACUACUUUUAGUCAGAGGUUAAACACAGAGCUGUUCAACCUUUAACAUGCCUUUGGCAUAAUUUGUGCCACACAAGGAUGGCUUGGCUUGGAAGAAGCUCCCUUCCCUCUGUGAGCAGAGAACAAGACACAGGUGGCAGUGUCCCGUGGGAUCUUUUCCUAGCUUACUCAAAUAAUUAAGUAAAAAUAAUCAGACUGCUAAGUGUAAACUUUUGUGGUGGUCUGUCUCAUAAGCAAGUUAUGUGGUGAACACAAGGUCAGAUGCUGAUCCUUGCAGUGUCUAGUAAGUGCUGGAAAUUAGGCUUGUAGAGGCAUCGCGAUGUGCUGAGGCUGCAUGGAGGAGGCUGGAAGGUGCCCCUGUUACCUGGGCAAUUUGUGAGCUUCGUGUUACAAAGUGAUGUGCCCUGGGCUUUCAGCAUGUGUUUGAGGGGAAGGAGAGUCUCACACAAAUCAAACUCAGUCUUUAAACUUCAGUCUGGAGCCACCAACAGCAGUCUGGUCCUGCUUUGUCUAAUGUGGCAUUGCACUGAUGGCUGCUGCCACUGAAGGUAGUGGUAAGAUUCACCCUGGGCUGAAAAGGAAGACUUAGACCAACAGGAAUAUUUUUCAAAACUUAGUAACUUCUAUUUAAUACUUCUUUCUUGUCCUUAGUAUUAGUUUCUAUUACAUAGCAUAUAAAUAUUUUAUAACAAUUGGUUUUAUUAAUCUCAUGUUAUUAAUUCAAAAAGUGAAACCCAGGUCUGGAGCACUCUCUAAUGAACAUCUUCCAAAGCAGCCGUGGUCUGGAUAAUUUAACUAUCUGAUUCACUGAUUCUUUAAGAUCACUGACAUACCUAUAUGAACAACUCUCAUCUGCAUGCUAAGCUGUUUGAAUUUUGCACUCCUAUCCUGACCUGCCUUAUAUGUAUAUGGACUGCAUUGCAUCCUACAUCUACAGGUCAAUUCUUUAUUGUGGCAUGCCC